rnacentral:rRNA from 1 species
UACAGAGGUCCCGAGCGUUGUUCGGAUUCAUUGGCGUAAAGGGUGCGUAGGCGGCUGGGUAAGUUUGAUGUGAAAUCCUGGGGCUCAACCUUGGAACUGCAUUGAAUACUGCUCGGCUAGAGUACUGGAGAGGAAACUGGAAUUUACGGUGUAGCAGUGAAAUGCGUAGAUAUCGUAAGGAAGACCAGUGGCGAAGGCGAGUUUCUGGACAGUUACUGACGCUGAGGCACGAAGGCCAGGGGAGCAAACGGG